rnacentral:rRNA from 1 species
UGGGGAAUAUUGCACAAUGGGCGCAAGCCUGAUGCAGCCAUGCCGCGUGUGUGAAGAAGGCCUUCGGGUUGUAAAGCACUUUCAGCGGGGAGGAAGGCGAUAAGGUUAAUAACCUUGUCGAUUGACGUUACCCGCAGAAGAAGCACCGGCUAACUCCGUGCCAGCAGCCGCGGUAAUACGGAGGGUGCAAGCGUUAAUCGGAAUUACUGGGCGUAAAGCGCACGCAGGCGGUUGAUUGAGUCAGAUGUGAAAUCCCCGGGCUUAACCCGGGAAUUGCAUCUGAUACUGGUCAGCUAGAGUCGUGUAGAGGGGGGUAGAAUUCCAGGUGUAGCGGUGAAAUGCGUAGAGAUGUGGAGGAAUACCGGUGGCGAAGGCGGCCCCCUGGACAAAGACUGACGCUCAGGUGCGAAAGCGUGGGGAGCAAACAGG